rnacentral:lncRNA from 1 species
GAGGGAUCCUCUUUAUAGGGUCAGAUAGGGAUUGGGAUUUGGGAUUUUUGGGUCCAUUUUGGGGCAAAUUUGGGUCAUUUUGGGCAAAUUUUGGUGCUUUGGAGAUCGCAUCCAUUCUACUGUGAACUCCAAUGUCAUUUUGGGCCGAAUUCCUCCAUUUUUGCACCGAUCCCAAAGCAGAUUUCAGAGAUUCUCUUUAUAGGGUUAGAUAGGGAUUGGGAUUUGGGAUUUUUGGGUCCAUUUUGGGGCAAUUUGGGUCAUUUUGGGUAAAUUUGGGUGGUUUGGAGAUCGCAUCCAUUCUACUGUGAACCCCGAUGUCAUUUUGGGGUGAAUUCCACCAUUUUUGGGGUCAUUAUGAAGCAGAUUUGAGGGAUCCUCUUUAUAGGGCUAGAUAGGGAUUGGGAUUUGGGAUUUUUGGAUCCAUUUUGGGGCAAAUUUGGGUUGUUUUGGGUAAAUUUGGGUGGUUUGGAGAUCGCAUCCAUUCCACUGUGAACCCCAAUGUCAUUUUGGGUUGAAUUCUUCCAUUUUUGGGGUCAUUCCGAAGCAGAUUAGAGGGAUCCUCUUUAUAGGGUCAGAUAGGGAUUGGGAUUUGGGAUUUUUGUGGCCAUUUUGGGGCAAAUUUGGAUCAUUUGGGGUAAAUUUGGGUGGUUUGGAGAUCGCAUCCAUUCUACUGUGAACUCCAAUGUCAUUUUGAGCUGAAUUCCUCCAUUUUUGCACCAAUCCCAAUUCCGAUUUUAGAACCGUUUUUGGGGUCAUUCCGAAGCAGAUUAGAGAGAUCCUCUUUAUAGGGUCAGAUAGGGAUUGGGAUUUGGGAUUUUUGGGUCCAUUUUGGGGCAAAUUUGGGUCAUUUUGGGUAAAUUUGGGUGGUUUGGAGAUCGCAUCCAUUCUACUAUGAACUCCAAUGUCAUUUUGGGCCGAAUUCCUCCAUUUUUGCGCCGAUCCCAAAGCAGAUUUCAGAGAUCCUCUUUAUAGGGUUAGAUAGGGAUUGGGAUUUGGGAUUUUUGGGUCCAUUUUGGGGCAAAUUUGGGUCAUUUUGGAUAAAUUUGGGUGCUUUGGAGAUCGCAUCCAUUCUACUAUGAACUCCAAUGUCAUUUUGGGUUGAAUUCUUCCAUUUUUGCAUCAAUCCCAAAGCCGAUUUGAGGGCUC